UGGGGAAUCUUGCGCAAUGGGCGAAAGCCUGACGCAGCAACGCCGCGUGCGGGAGGAAGGCCUUCGGGUUGUAAACCGCUUUCAGCAGGGACGAAAAUGACGGUACCUGCAGAAGAAGCCCCGGCUAACUACGUGCCAGCAGCCGCGGUAAUACGUAGGGGGCAAGCGUUGUCCGGAUUUAUUGGGCGUAAAGAGCUCGUAGGCGGUUCCGUAAGUUGGGAGUUAAAUCUCUGGGCUCAACCCAGAGUCGCUCCCAAUACUGCGGUGACUCGAGUCCGGUAGGGGAGAUUGGAAUUCCUGGUGUAGCGGUGGAAUGCGCAGAUAUCAGGAGGAACACCAACAGCGAAGGCAGAUCUCUGGGCCGGUACUGACGCUGAGGAGCGAAAGCGUGGGGAGCGAACA
rnacentral:rRNA from 1 species